rnacentral:rRNA from 1 species
GACGAACGCUGGCGGCGUGCUUAAUACAUGCAAGUCGAGCGGACAGGCCCGGCUUUUGUUGGUUGCUCGUUUGCCGAACGCGUGAGUAACACAUGAGUAUCCUGUCCUUAUCUUUCUGAUAACUUCUGGGGACUGGGGCGCAUAUCGGGUAGGAUCUCCUGCUGCGUGUUGUUGGUUGGUAAAAUUCGGCGUUGGUGGAUGUACUCGCUGGAUAUCAGCUUGUUUGUGGGGUAGUGACUUACCAAGGCUUUGACGGGUACGCGGCCUGAGCGGGUGACCGGCCACCUUGGGACUGACAUACGGCACAGACUCCUACGGGAGGCAGCAGUGCGGAAUAUUGCACAAUGGGCGGAAGCCUGAUGAAGAAACGCCGCGUGUCGGAUGACGGCGUUAGGGGUGUAAAACGAUUUCGCAUGUGACGAAGCGUGAGUGAAGGUAAUGGAUAAAGAAGCACCGGCUAACUACGUG